UCUUCCGUAGUAUAGUGGUCAGUAUGUGAGCUUGUCAUCGCCGACAUCGCUCGAGACCCGGGUUCAAUUCCCGGCGGGAGAG
rnacentral:tRNA from 1 species